rnacentral:rRNA from 1 species
GACGAACGCUGGCGGCGUGCUUAACACAUGCAAGUCGAACGCUGAAGCUCAGCUUUUGUUGGGUGGAUGAGUGGCGAACGGGUGAGUAACACGUGAGUAACCUGCCCCCUUCUUUGGGAUAACGCCCGGAAACGGGUGCUAAUACUGGAUAUUCACUGGUCUUCGCAUGGGGGUUGGUGGAAAGGGUUUUUCUGGUGGGGGAUGGGCUCGCGGCCUAUCAGCUUGUUGGUGGGGUGAUGGCCUACCAAGGCUUUGACGGGUAGCCGGCCUGAGAGGGUGACCGGUCACAUUGGGACUGAGAUACGGCCCAGACUCCUACGGGAGGCAGCAGUGGGGAAUAAUGCACAAUGGGCGCAAGCCUGAUGCAGCGACGCUGCGUGAGGGAUGGAGGCCUUCGGGUUGUGAACCUCUUUCGCUCAUGGUCAAGCCGCAACAAUGGUUGUGGUGAGGGUAGUGGGUAAAGAAGCGCCGGCUAACUACGUG